UCCAGCAAACUGUCAUCGCAGCAGGAUGCAGUUCUUGAGAGGGUGAUCAUACAUGGCAAGUGAAGCGACGCUGAACUGUCACCAAACAAGUCUGUUUCCUUGUGCCUGAAUCUUCCUUUAAGGCUCACCCAAAAAUGGAGAUUGACAGUUUAUAGCCAGAGAUACAUUUAUACCAUAAUGCACCCAAAAUCCUGCCGUAUCCUCAUGGAAGCUUUCUGGAUGAUUGUCACAUUGUGGGAGAACAACAGAGAACGCUGGACCAGCCCCAGCUCUAGAACACAAACAGGUUUCUGCUUUCUGAACAUGGACCCAGUCAAGGCUACAAGAGUACAGAGUAAGAAUCAGCAGUGACCCAGUCUAGGCCUCCCUUGAUGUACCUUCCCUCCAACAGCCUUCAGAAUAUCACAGAAGCUGAUGGACGUGACAACUGAGAUGACUCAGGUCAGCCGAGGAAGCGUCCC